UACAGAGGCCUCGAGCGUUGUUCGGAAUUACUGGGCGUAAAGGGAAUGUAGGUGGUGACGUAAGUCAGAUGUGAAAGCCCUGGGCUUAACCCGGGAAGUGCAUUUGAUACUGUGUCGCUGGAGUGCGAGAGAGGAAAGUGGAAUUUCCAGUGUAGGGGUGAAAUCCGUAGAUAUUGGAAGGAAUACCGAUGGCGAAGGCAGCUUUCUGGCUCGUAACUGACACUGAGAUUCGAAAGCGUGGGUAGCAAACAGG
rnacentral:rRNA from 1 species